UUUCCGUAGGUGAACCAGCGGAAGGAUCAUUCAUAAUAAAGUGUUUUAUGGCACUUUUUAAAAAUCCAUAUCCACCUUGUGUGCAAUGUUAGAUCUCGUCAAUCUUGGCGAGAUUUUUAUACAUCAACUCAUUCUUUAACUAAUUUGUCUGAAAAAUAUUAUGAAUACUUAAUUCAAAAUACAACUUUCAACAACGGAUCUCUUGGCUCUC
rnacentral:misc_RNA from 1 species